CUACGGGGCGCUCCAGUGGGGAAUAUUGCACAAUGAGCGAAAGCUUGAUGCAGCCAUACCGCGUGUGUGAAGAAGGCCCGAGGGUUGUAAAGCACUUUCAAUUGUGAGGAAGGUUCAGUAGUUAAUACCUGCUGUUCUUGACGUUAACUUUAGAAGAAGCACCGGCUAACUCUGUGCCAGCAGCCGCGGUAAUACAGAGGGUGCAAGCGUUAUUCGGAAUUACUGGGCGUAAAGCGCGCGUAGGCGGAUUAUUAAGUCAGUUGUGAAAGCCCUGGGCUCAACCUGGGAACUGCAUCUGAUACUGGUAGUCUAGAGUUUAAGAGAGGGAAGUGGAAUUCCAGGUGUCGCAGUGAAAUGCGUAGAUAUCUGGAGGAACAUCAGUGGCGAAGGCGACUUCCUGGCUUAAAACUGACGCUGAGGUGCGAAAGCGUGGGUAGCGAACGGGAUUAGAUACCCCUGUAGUC
rnacentral:rRNA from 1 species